ensembl:lncRNA
CCACGCCCCUGCCUCUAAGCGUCUCUCAUUGGAGGAUUUUCCCAAGUGUUUUCGAUGAAGAGGGGGAGUUAACCGCUGCGUUCACUAACCCAGGCCCGGGUAGAGGCCAGGAGUGGAUGGACCUGGAGUUCUGUGUGCUUGAGCUUGGUCUGGAUGGCCCACUGCUGCUCUUGGACUACCAAGGAUGCACCAAGGAAGAUCAUAAACAGGCAUCCAGGAUUUUCCUGGCAAGAAUACUGGAGUGGGUUGCCAUGCCGUCCUCCAGGGGAUCUUCCCAGUCCAGGGAUGGAACCCAUGACUCCUGUGCAGGCAGAUUCUUUACCACUGAUCCACUGGGUAAGCCCAUGAAUGGGUGUUAUGUUGUGUCAGAUGCUUAUUCUUCAUCUAUUGAAACUGUUAUAUGGAUUUUUGUUUUUACUUUGAACAUGGUGAAUUAUGUGUAUUGAUUUUCAAGAGUUAAAACAACCUUACAUACCUCAGAUAAACCUACUUGCUAGUAGUGUGUUACUCUUGUUAUGUAGUUCUGAAAAUAAUUUGACUUAAAAAAG